UUUGGAUGUACCACUGUCUGUUCACUUACUGAAGGGAUUUUUGGUUGCUUUCAAGCACUGGCAAUAAUGAACGAGGUUGCUAUAAACAUCGGUGUGCACAAAGUGUACACAAAAUUGUACUUAAAUUUUUAACUCCUCGGAGUGGAACAGGGAGUGAUUACUGGAUCGCAUAAGAGGAUGUUUACUUCUGCAAGAAACUGCCAAGGUGUCUUCCAAAGAAAUUUCCAGGCUGCCUCAUUUUGCAGCAGUGAAUGGGAGUUCCUCUUGAUCACCAUGUUCUGGAUUUUGGCCCUUCUAAUAGGUAUGUAUAGUAUCUCAUUUUUAAAAUUUGCAUUUCCCAGAUGACACUAUGUGGGGCAUCUUUCCAUAUAUAUAUAUAUAUUUGGAGAGGGGGGGUCUGCCCAGACCUUUGGCCUAUUUUUAAAUCAGAUUGCUUAUUUAUUUAUUUAUUUUUAUUGUGAAGGUUCAAGAGCCCUUGGUGUAUUUUGGAUCCCAGUCCCGUUAGGUUGGUUUGAGGUGGCUAAGGAACAAAGCACCAGGUAACCCGCAACACCUGUCAAUCAACAGAGUCUCCUGAUCAAUCCUGGAAGGACAAAGAUCUCAGCAAGAUCCCCCAACCAACCCCAGGAGGACAAGGACCUCUAAAAUACUCCCUUUGCUGUCCCAAACCUUCCCUUUCUGUCCUAGGCCCAAUAAAAUUCCAAUCCGGCUGAGCCUGGGUGCGACUCUCCUGGACCCGCUCUAUCGGUCUGGAGGGUCUCGCCUGGGAAUUAAUCUCAAUGAAGCCUUGUUCCGCAGCUGUUAAUCUGCCUCCUUUUGGUCACCGGUGCCUGACCUUACAAGUCCUUUAUCAUAUUUGUCUUUUGCUGGUAUUUUCUCCCGGUCUGUGACUUUUCUUCUCAUUUUCUUGAGAAAAAUAAAUUUUGAAUGCAAUGUCUUUAAAGAUCAAA
rnacentral:lncRNA from 1 species